GAGUUACUCCGUCCGUUUGAAAUUACUUGUCAUAAAAAUGAAUGUAUGUAUAAAUAAAAUACAUCUAGAUACAUUCAUUUUUUGGACGAGUAAUUUCAAACGGAGGGAGUACAUU
rfam:Triticum aestivum genome assembly, contig: Triticum_aestivum_CS42_TGACv1_scaffold_423624_5BS